GAGGGUAUAGCUCAGUGGUACAGUGCGCGCUUAGCAUGCACGAGGUCCUAGGUUCAAGUACAAGGUACUGGGUUCAAUUCCCAGUAUUUCCA
rnacentral:tRNA from 1 species